rnacentral:rRNA from 1 species
GAGGGCAAGUCUGGUGCCAGCAGCCGCGGUAAUUCCAGCUCCAAUAGCGUAUAUUAAAAUUGUUGCAGUUAAAAAGCUCGUAGUUGAAUUUCUGCUGCAUCGCCUUUUCUCCUUUACGAGUUUUGGCAUUGUGGCUUAUUUCGGAUUUGCUUGCAUUUCCGAAUGUUUACUUUGAGAAAAUUAGAGUGCUCAAAGCAGGCUUUUGCCUUGAAUAGUUUAGCAUGGAAUAAUAAAGUAGGACUUUGGUUCUAUUUUGUUGGUUUUAGGUACCAAAGUAAUGGUUAAUAGGAGCAGUUGGGGGUAUUCGUAUUUAACUGUCAGAGGUGAAAUUCUUAGAUUUGUUAAAGACGAACUACUGCGAAAGCAUUUGCCAAGGAUGUUUUCAUUAAUCAAGAACGAAAGUUAGGGGAUCGAAGACGAUCAGAUACCGUCGUAGUCCUAACCAUAAACUAUGCCGACUAGAGAUUGGAGGUCGUCAGUUUAUACGACUCCUUCAGCACCUUGAGAG